rnacentral:rRNA from 1 species
UUGCGGCGUGCUUAACACAUGCAAGUCGAACGGAAAGGCCCUGCUUUUGUGGGGUGCUCGAGUGGCGAACGGGUGAGUAACACGUGAGUAACCUGCCCUUGACUUUGGGAUAACUUCAGGAAACUGGGGCUAAUACCGGAUAGGAGCUCCUGCUGCAUGGUGGGGGUUGGAAAGUUUCGGCGGUUGGGGAUGGACUCGCGGCUUAUCAGCUUGUUGGUGGGGUAGUGGCUUACCAAGGCUUUGACGGGUAGCCGGCCUGAGAGGGUGACCGGCCACAUUGGGACUGAGAUACGGCCCAGACUCCUACGGGAGGCAGCAGUGGGGAAUAUUGCACAAUGGGCGGAAGCCUGAUGCAGCAACGCCGCGUGCGGGAUAACGGCCUUCGGGUUGUAAACCGCUUUCGCCUGUGACGAAGCGUGAGUGACGGUAAUGGGUAAAGAAGCACCGGCUAACUACGUGCCAGCAGCCGCGGUGAUACGUAGGGUGCGAGCGUUGUCCGGAUUUAUUGGGCGUAAAGGGCUCGUAGGUGGUUGAUCGCGUCGGAAGUGUAAUCUUGGGGCUUAACCCUGAGCGUGCUUUCGAUACGGGUUGACUUGAGGAAGGUAGGGGAGAAUGGAAUUCCUGGUGGAGCGGUGGAAUGCGCAGAUAUCAGGAGGAACACCAGUGGCGAAGGCGGUUCUCUGGGCCUUUCCUGACGCUGAGGAGCGAAAGCGUGGGGAGCGAACAGGCUUAGAUACCCUGGUAGUCCACGCUGUAAACGGUGGGUACUAGGUGUGGGGUCCAUUCCACGGGUUCCGUGCCGUAGCUAACGCUUUAAGUACCCCGCCUGGGGAGUACGGCCGCAAGGCUAAAACUCAAAGGAAUUGACGGGGCCCCGCACAAGCGGCGGAGCAUGCGGAUUAAUUCGAUGCAACGCGUAGAACCUUACCUGGGUUUGACAUGGAUCGGGAGUGCUCAGAGAUGGGUGUGCCUCUUUUGGGGUCGGUUCACAGGUGGUGCAUGGCUGUCGUCAGCUCGUGUCGUGAGAUGUUGGGUUAAGUCCCGCAACGAGCGCAACCCUUGUUCACUGUUGCCAGCACGUUAUGGUGGGGACUCAGUGGAGACCGCCGGGGUCAACUCGGAGGAAGGUGGGGAUGACGUCAAGUCAUCAUGCCCCUUAUGUCCAGGGCUUCACGCAUGCUACAAUGGCUGGUACAGAGAGUGGCGGGCCUGUGAGGGUGAGCGAAUCUCGGAAAGCCGGUCUCAGUUCGGAUUGGGGUCUGCAACUCGACCUCAUGAAGUCGGAGUCGCUAGUAAUCGCAGAUCAGCAACGCUGCGGUGAAUACGUUCCCGGGGCUUGUACACACCGCCCGUCAAGUCAUGAAAGUUGGUAACACCCGAAGCCGGUGGCCUAACCGUUGUGGGGGAGCCGUCGAAGGUGGGACUGGUGAUUAGGACU